GACGAACGCUGGCGGCGUGCUUAACACAUGCAAGUCGAACGGAAAGGCCCUGCUUUUGUGGGGUGCUCGAGUGGCGAACGGGUGAGUAACACGUGAGUAACCUGCCCUUGACUUUGGGAUAACUUCAGGAAACUGGGGCUAAUACCGGAUAGGAGCUCCUGCUGCAUGGUGGGGGUUGGAAAGUUUCGGCGGUUGGGGAUGGACUCGCGGCUUAUCAGCUUGUUGGUGGGGUAGUGGCUUACCAAGGCUUUGACGGGUAGCCGGCCUGAGAGGGUGACCGGCCACAUUGGGACUGAGAGACGGACCAGACUCCUACGGGAGGCAGCAGUGGGGAAUAUUGCACAAUGGGCGGAAGCCUGAUGCAGCAACGCCGCGUGCGGGAUGACGGCCUUCGGGUUGUAAACCGCUUUAGCCUGUGACGAAGCGUGAGUGACGGUAAUGGGUAAAGAAGCACCGGCUAACUACGUG
rnacentral:rRNA from 1 species